GACGAACGCUGGCGGCGUGCUUAACACAUGCAAGUCGAGCGAGACUUUCUCUUCGGAGGGAUGCUCUAGCGGCGAACGGGUGAGUAACACGUGGGCAACCUGCCCCUAGCUCUGGGAUAAGCCCGAGAAAUCGGGUCUAAUACUGGAUAUUCACGACAUAGGGCAUCUUGUGUUGUGGAAAGGUUUUCUGGCUGGGGAUGGGCCCGCGGCCUAUCAGCUUGUUGGUGGGGGAUGGCCUACCAAGGCGACGACGGGUAGCCGGCCUGAGAGGGCGACCGGCCACACUGGGACUGAGACACGGCCCAGACUCCUACGGGAGGCAGCAGUGGGGAAUAUUGCACAAUGGGCGGAAGCCUGAUGCAGCGACGCCGCGUGAGGGAUGACGGCCUGGUGUAAC
rnacentral:rRNA from 1 species